CGACGCGUGCUCAGGUCGCGACGCUCGCGGACGUCGCAGAGCGAGUGCAGAGCGCAGCGGAAGUUCGCCUUCCACGUCUUCGGGUCGACGUGGUCCUCGCGGAACUUGCCUGAGAGAGAAAGAGGGAGACGCGGGGAGGUACCAGUGUGAAUCGCCCACUCCCUGAAGAUGGAGGCGUCUGUGCUCUCGUUCCAGCCACUCCGUGACGCGUGCCUCCAAGACACCAUGAAGAUUCCCUUCUCCUGAGACACCGAGGGGAGAGACACGGUGAGACGCGGGAGACACAGGGAGACACGGGCGGAGGAACUGGGGCAAGCGCCAUGGAGGGUCCCAUCUGGAAGCCCCAUGAACUUGCUGGUGGGUUCGAGAAGGGAGGCGCGGCCAGGGCGGAGCCAGGCCGCGAUGGGAGCAUAAAAGAGGCUGAG